AGUUCAAUGACGUUUCAAGGUCAUUAUGUCGUUUUAUUUAAGAGGUACUUCCAGGGGUAUGGUAAUUCUCAAUGUUGUCAAGAAAUUGUUGUAAAAAUGUUCUCAAGGAAAAAAACAAAAGCUUUUGAAAUGUUUAAGUUCUUAGAACAAUGUAAGAUUAAUGGAGUUUAUCCAAUGUCUAUCUUUAAAAGUCAUAAGAACAUACACAGCCAUGUCAUUGUUAGAGACAAUGACCUUGACACACAUUUCCCAUUCAACUCACUGCCAAAAGUGGCAAAAUAGACAUAUUUACCUCUUGCAUGUGCUCCUGUGAUCUUUGAGGAAAACAUGAGAAUUAAUUGCCAUUCAAAGUGAUGGAAUUAAUAAAUUUAUCUCCCAUCAAUGUAAUUAUGAAUUCUAAAAGACUGUCUAGAAAAGAUUAUAUUUUGACUUCCACGUCAGUAAGGAAACUCUGCUGUGUAUAUAGUAUUAAAACAUGAAAGACAAUCGAAUUUAUCCGCAAAUUUGUUAUAUGUAAUCAUUAUAGUAUUGUUAAAUCUAAAAACCAGCACAAACUCCCCUGGUGGUUAAAUUUUGAAUUGACUGCCGGUUAAUGAUUAUUAUUUUAAUUUUAUGCUGGGGUGCCAC
rnacentral:lncRNA from 1 species